AUUUUAAUUAAUUAUCACUAAUUUUGUAAUUUAAACUAAUUAAUUAUAAUUAAAAAAUAAUAAUAAUAAUAAAAUGCCCCAAAAGGGGCUGUUUGGGACGGGAUUUGGCCGCAAGAAGCACGCAUAAGGAGAAAGUUAACCUUCACAGCCAGUGAGCUCCCCUUGUUAUUCCCGAUCCAACAAAGAAGGGAACGUCGGAGCAGGGUCGGGAUCGGAGCGUCGAGAGGCGGUUUCGGCUAGGCGUCGGCUUCAGGUAAGAGGAAUUCUCUCUCUCUCUCUCUCUCUCUCUCUCUCUCUCUCUCUGUAUGGAUCGAACAGCUCAAGCAAGAGCUAGGGUCGGGUUUCAGGCGUUGGAGAAGCAGCGGCUUCGUUUGGAGUCAGAGAGAGAUUGGGGAAGGUGGAGUUUGGAGUAAGUUCGGCUUGGAGAGGAGAUCGGAAGAGCAGGGGGUCGUGUGGGUAGCGAAGUCGGAGAGAGAAGAGUUCGGCGGGACAGGGUGUCGGGCUGAACAGAGUUCCGGCUCUGUGUGUGUGGAGUCGGAGGAGGAAGGGAGUUCAGAACAGAGAAGGAGAUUGGAGAGGUAUCGGGAGAGAGCAGUGAGAGCUCGGGCAUUGGAAUGAGCGGCUUGGAGUCGGGAGGAGAUCGUGAGGCUUCCCCUUCAUUUUAUAGACGCGAAAGAGGCGAGAAACGAGGCCGUCGUCGCAGGAUUCGCGCAGGGAUUGCGGAGAAGUGAUCGUUCGGUGCCGUAUCUAUAGUAAUUUUGAUGGGAUUUCAGCAGGAUUUCAGCAGGGUUCCUGGAUCCAUCGGAUACGAGGUUUGUACGCUGAAUUUUGGCUUCCUCUUUCUUUUGUUCUUUUGGGUAUAUGAUACAGGUCAACAAUGCCAUACCAUCUUAUACCAACUGCAGUCAUCUCUUUCUGAAUAAAAUUCAUCCAUAUAGUUUUUAAACAGAGAAUUUGACUUUUAACAGGACAAAGUGGCGAAGAAGGAUUCAUGUAGCCAACCCCACGUAGUGGAACAAAGGCUUGAUGUUGCAUGUUUUGCUACUCUUACCGAAGUGCCUCUAAUUUGGUCACUAGCAUCAAUCCACUCUCACCACAAAUUUGAGGAUAUUGGGUCUAAAUUUAUCCAUGUGUAAUGCUCAACCUUGCAACAAUUAUUUAGUAGAUGAAAUUUGAAGAACCGAGUGAGAAAGUUAGUGAGUAUGUAAAUUAAACGAAAAGCUUUUGUAUCUCUCUUUGUAAUCUCCACAGCAUGAAGUCCAAAAUAUGCCUCUUCAUCUCUUAAAGAGGGCUAUAGGAAAGGGUUCACCUAGAAUAAAUUAACAAUGUAGUACAUGAUGUGAUCAAUGUUGAUUGACACAAAUAUGUGGAUUAAUGAAAUGGUUUACACAUAGACUUCUAUCUCUAGCAUGGCCACCUUCCCGCUCCCCUCGAUUUUCAUUCGAUUGAGUAUCUUUGGUGAGUUUUCAGUGGCGAGUUCUUUGAGUGAGUCUUCAAGACUUGGCAUAUAAGGAAAGUUUAUGAUGGCGAGUUUCCAAGAACAGACGAUGAGUUCCUUUGGAUGAAAGAUGCUUCCUUGGUAUAAUCUUUUAGGAUCAGUCAAUAUACCAUUAUCUUCGUAGGUUUUGAGUGGCUGCUUGCCCACAGGCUAGGGUUCAUGACAAUCUUGCAAAGCAUGCCUCCCUUUGGACGAGGGCUGCCUAGACUGUUUGCUCUUAUUGGCUAAGUUCCAUGGACUGGAACUAAUGAGAUACUUAUAUAAGUGUUAUGUACAUGGGCUUAUAUGUGUAUGCAAUAAAUAUAACAUUAGUAAAUUAGCUAUGCUUGUUUGUAUGUAUGUGCUGCACACUAUCAUUCUUUUAAUAUCUGUAAAAAAAAAUGUAGGAUUUUGACCUUAACGCUUCUCUUGCAUGCCCGCUCCUUCCACCUCAACUUGAUUAAAGUUUUUUAGUUUUCUCUCAUGAUUGCGUUUUUAUUCAUUUGCAUAAUUUCUAGUAUAAACAGACAUAAUUCUAUCCUUCUGAAAGUUGUCGUUGUAAUUUCUUCUCCGUUUUCAAUAUCCAAUACAAAAUGUUUUUUUAUUUACAUUCGAAUGUGAAGAGCUCUCUCUAAUGGCAUCAUGUUCAUAAUGGCUUAGUUGGUUUUCUUUGUAACCAUAUAUUCCUCGUAUUUUAUCUUCACAGUAGUUUGAUGUAUGCUAUUAUACUAGCAGAUAUUAAAAGAAUGAUUUAAUAAAAUAUAUUCAAUUUUGAAAAUAUUUUUAACCGUUGUUGAGGCUUAUUUUAUUGAAUUAAUGCUUUGUUACUGGUAGCUUGUACUUUCUAGAGAUCAGUUUGCCUAAGGAGGUGAGCUUGUAGGCUGGGCGAUCGACUUGAACUGAUUUUGCCCAAACAAUGUGCUGUUAUACAAAAUUCAUCUCUUUACAGAAGAGUCAGAGCUCACAGUUUGAACUGAAUUAUAUUGGGGCACAGUUCCAGAAAGUUAAAUAGUCAAAGCAGUUGUUGUCCAACCCUGGUCAAUUCAUACUUAUAUGUUUCUUUUAUGAUCUAAUUCCAAAGGCUGACAUGACAUCAAUAUGUAAUGGAUUUGCUUGAUUUGAUAAUUGGUUUUAUGAUGCUGGAAUAAUAACUUAUAUGAUGGUUCAUUAA